AUUACAGGUUUGAGCCACCGUGCCUGGCCCUAAUUUUUGUAUUUUUAGUAGAGAUGGGGUUUCACCAUGUUGGCCAGGAUGGUCUCAAUCUCUUGACCUCGUGAUCCACCCUCCUCGGCCUCUGAAAGUGCUAGGAUUACAGGCAUGAGCCUCCGCACCUGGCCCAAAUUUUUCUUAACUUUCAAGGUCAAGGGUACAGGUUCAGGUUUGUUACGUAGGUACACUUGUGUCAUGGGGGUUAUUUCAUCACCCAGGUAUUAAGCCUAGUACCCAUUAGUUGUUUCUCCUGAUCCUCUCCCUCCUUCCACUCUCCGCCCUCUAAUAGGCCCCAGUGCGUGUUGUUUCCCUCUAUGUGUCCAUGUGUUCUCAUCAUUUAGCUCCCACUUAUAAUCAAGAACAUGCGGUAUUUGGUUUCCUGUUCCUGCGUUUAGUUUGCUAAGGGAUAUCUUUUUUAGAAUUUUUUUUUUUAAAGGAGCCUGCAUCCUGACUAAACAUCAGCAUGCCUUCACCAUGCUGUGACCCAGGCAGCUGCAGGAUCUUCCCAGCAGAAUGUUCCCUUGAACAUUCUCAGACACUGAUAAAGGCAUCUAGAUUGUUGCUCGAAACACUGGAAAAAAAAAAAAAAACUGGUCCUGAGCCAAAUUUCUCAUACUCUCAUAAAAAUUCCUGUCCCUGAGCCCCUCACUGAAGACAUACCUAGGUAGAACCUCCCUUUUCUCUCACUGUUGUGAGGAUCACUGCAGCCCUCCUAAGUAAAUUCCCCUAAUAAAUGUUCUGGCCUGAUCACCCUGGCAGUUAGUGUUUCUUUCUUUAGAAUCUCAACCAGCCCCAGCUGCUGCGGUGGCUCACGCCUGUAAUCCCAGCACUUUGGGAGGCCGACGGGGGCAGAUCACUUGAGGUUAGAAGUUUGAGACCAGCCUGGCCAAUAUGGCGAAACCCUGUCUCUACUAAAAAUACAAAAAAAAAAAAAAAAAAAUUAGCUGGGCAUGGUGACAGGCGCCUGUAAUCUCAGCUACUCGGGAGGCUGAGGCAGGAAAAUCGCUUGAGCCCAGAAGGUGGAGGUUGCAGUGAGCUGAGAUCGCGCCAUUGCACUCCAGCCUGGGUGACAGAGCAAGACUGUCUCAAAAAAGGGCUGGGUGCAGUGGCUCACACCUGUAAUCCCGGCACUUUGGGAGGCCAAGGUGGGCAGAUUGCCUGAGGUGAGGAGUUCAAGACCAGCCUGACCAACAUGGUGAAACGCCGUCUCUACUAAAAAUACAAAAAUUAGCCAGGUGUGGUGGCGUGCACCUGUAAUCCCAGCUACUUGGGAGGCUGAGACAGGAGAAUCGCUUGAACCAGGGAGGCGGAGGUUGCAGUGAGCCAAGACCGGGCCAUUGCACUCCAGCCUAGGCAACAAGAGUGAAACUCCGUCUCAAAAAAAAAAAAAAAAAGGAGCUGCGUGUGGUGGCUCGCGUCUGGAAUCCCAGCACUUUGGGAAGCCAAGGUGGGCAGAUCACCUGAGGUCAGGAGUUUGAGACCAGCCUGGCCAAUAUGGCAAAACCCCGUCUCUACUAAAAAUACAAAAAUUAGCCGGGCAUGGUGGUGGGGACCUGUAAUCCCAGCUACUUGGGAGGCUGAGGCAGGAUAAUUGUUUGAACCAGGAGGUGGAGGUUGCAGUGAGCUGAGAUUGUGCCAUUGCACUCAAGCCUGGGCAACAGAGCGAGACUCCAUCUCAAAAAAAUAAAAAAUAAAAAUAAAAAGACAAAAUUCUUGAUAGCUAGCAUGUUGGCAUUCAGAGUCAGAACUCUCCCAGCUGUAAAAGAUUUUUUCUAGAUCAGUGUCUUGAAACUGCAGGCUGCCUUCCAUUUGUGGGCCAUGCGAUCAAUGUACUGGUCACGCCCUGUGUUUUAGUUAAACGAAAAGAGACUAAAUGGAAACGUGUCAGUGUGUGUCCUAUGCAGUGAGGGUGAUUAUCAUGUAGUGAAACUUGUUUCUGUUACAUACACAUCCUUUCAGAGACUGGUUCUCAUACCCCCACAACGAAUGUUAAGAAGCCACAGCACAGAUAGCAUCACGGUGAUGAAGGACUAGGGCUUAGGGAAGAUUCUCUUUGCUUGGUGAACUCUCCUCUCCAAAGGGUAACCAAGGUUGACACACCAGCUGCAUUCUCGGACACCUCCACUUACCAUUUCCUGUAAUUCCGGCACUUUGGGAGGCUUAGGUGACAGGAUUGCUUGAGGCCAGGAGUUUGAGAACAGCCUGCGAAACUGCAUCUCUACCAAAAAAUACUUCUUUUUUUUUUAGACAGGAUCUCACUCUGUCACCCAGGCUGGAGUGCAGUAGCACAAUCAUAGCUCACUGGAGCCUGGAUCGCCCGGGUUUAGAUGAUCUUCACACCUCAACCGCCCAGGGAGGUGGGACUACAGGUGUGCGUCUCCAUGCUUAGCUCAUUUUUUUUAUUUUUUCUAGUAACGGGGUUUUGCAUGUUGGCCAGGCUGGUCUCAAACUACUGGGCUCAAGUGAUCUGCCCACCUUGACCUCCCAAAGUGCUGGGAUUACAGGUGUGAGCCACCAUGCCCAGCCAAAAAAUUCUUUAAAAAAUUAGUUGCGCCUGUAAUCCCAGCACUUUAGGAGGCGGAGGCGGGCGGAUCAUGAGGUCAGGAGUUUGAGACCAGCCUGACCAACAUGGUGAAACCCGUCUCUACUAAAAAUACAAGAAUUAGCCGGGCGUGGUGGCGUGUGCCUGUAAUCCCAGCUACUCAGGAGGAUGAGGAAGGAUGAAUCACUUGAACCAGGGAGGUGGAGGUUGCAGUGAGCUGAGAUUGUGCCACUGCACUCCAGCCUGGGCGACAGAACAAGACUCUGUCUCAAAAAAAAAAAAAAGUUAGUUGGGCUCAGUGUUGCACACCAGUAGUCCCAGCUGCUCAGGAGACCGAGGCAGGAGGAUCGCUUGAGCCCAGGAGAUUGAGAUUACAGUGAGCUGUGACUGUGAUCACACCAGUGCACUCCAGCCUGGGUAAUACGAGACCCUGCCUCUAAAAAAUAAUUAUAAUAAAAAACUUAGCUGGACGUGAUGGUGCCUGGAUGUAAUCUCAGCUACUCGGAAGGCUGAGGCAGGAAGACUACUUGAGGCUGGGAGGUCGAGGCUGCAGUGAGCUAUGAUCGUGCCACUGCACUCCAGCCUGGGCAACAGAAUGAAACUCUAUCUCUAAAAAUAAAUAAAUAAACAUUCACUGUGUGCCACACACUGUGUUGACGUGCUGAAUCCUCACCACAUUAAAAUGAGUCCCACCAUCCUUGUUUUACAGAUGAGGGAACUGAGGCACAAGAGGCUCAGCCACAGAUAGACGCAGAGACGCAGACGCGGUGGCUCAUGCCUGCAAUCCCAGCACUUUGGGAGGCUGAGACGGGUGGAUCACCUGAGGUCAGGAGUUCAAGACCAGCCUGGCCAUCAUAGUGAAAUUCCGUCUCUACUGAAAAUAUAAAAAUUAGCUGGGUGUGGUGGCAGUUGCCUGUAAUCCCAGCUAUUCAGGAGGCUGAGGCAGGAGAACUGCUGGAACCCAGGAAGAGGUCACAGUGAGCCGAGAUCGCGCCACUGCACUCCAGCCUAGGCAACAGACAGAGCAAGACUCCGUCUCAAAAACAAAACAAAAGGCUCAGCCACUUGGCAACAGUUACAGGCCUGUAGGAGUCAGGGUCUAAGCUCACACCCACCAUGCUGUGCUUCAGCUCUGGGAGCUCCCUUCUUGGACUGUCUUUGGAGGAGCGUCUCCCUGUGCGUCCUCCUGCUGACCACCCCCUGGGGUCCCUCUGGCAGCAGCCUGGGGGAAUCCUGUCCUCAGAUGGGGAGACACGUCCCUACAGGACUCCUAGUCUCCACUUAGCAAUGACCCAGGGCACCUGAGCAUGGCUUCUGUGCACCAGGAGCACAGCCCGCCGCCUCCACAUGGAGUGCCUGGGUCCAGAACUCCCCAUGUUCAUCUACAAAUGGAGCCUCUUCCAAGAUGUCUUUUUUUUUUCUUUUUUUUAGGCAAGGUCUUUCUCUGUUGCCCAGGCAGAGUACAAUGGCGUCAUCUUGGCUCACUGCAACCUCCGCCUCCCGGGUUCAAGUGAUUCUCCUGCCUCAGCGUCCCGAGUAGCUGGGAUUACAGAUGUGCACCACCAUGCCGAGCUAAUUGUUGUAUUUUUAGUAGAGACGGGGUUUCGCCAUGUUGGUCAGGCAGGUCUCGAACUCCUGACCUCAGGUGAUCCACCCACCUCGGCCUCCCAAAGUGCCGGGAUUAUAGGCGUGAGCCACCAUGCCUGGCCCCAAGAUGCCUUCUGUGAGCACCUCAACUGAAGUAUCAUGUCCAUCCUCUCUAUCCUGCUCCUCUUCACCUCCCCAUGAUCUGCCAUCAGAUGAUGUAUUUGUGUCUCCUUAUGACUAGAAGAAAACACCCAUCCGGCUGGAGGAAGAAGACGCGGAGCAAAUAAAUUCAGAUGUUUUAUUCUGUAAAGCACAUAUGCACAUACUUCAAACACGGAAAAUUAAUCUGGAAGUGAA
rnacentral:lncRNA from 10 species